ensembl:snoRNA
GAGCUUUGUGAGAUGGCCCCUUAAUGGUAAAGAGCACCAGCUGCUGACUGGGGAAAAUGAUUGAAUAGGAAACAUUGUUCUGUUCAUUUACUCCCCAGCCUACAAAU